rnacentral:rRNA from 1 species
AGAGUUUGAUCCUGGCUCAGAUUGAACGCUGGCGGAACGCUUUACACAUGCAAGUCGAACGGUAACGUGGGGAGGAGCUUGCUCCGCCCCGACGACGAGUGGCGAACGGGUGAGUAAUACAUCGGAACGUGUCCGCUUGUGGGGGACAACCAGCCGAAAGGUUGGCUAAUACCGCAUGAGUUCUACGGAAGAAAGAGGGGGACCCGCAAGGGCCUCUCGCGAGCGGAGCGGCCGAUGACUGAUUAGCCGGUUGGUGAGGUAACGGCUCACCAAAGCAACGAUCAGUAGCUGGUCUGAGAGGACGACCAGCCACACUGGGACUGAGACACGGCCCAGACUCCUACGGGAGGCAGCAGUGGGGAAUUUUGGACAAUGGGCGCAAGCCUGAUCCAGCUAUUCCGCGUGUGGGAUGAAGGCCCUCGGGUUGUAAACCACUUUUGUAGAGAACGAAAAGACAUCUUCGAAUAAAGGAUGUUGCUGACGGUACUCUAAGAAUAAGCACCGGCUAACUACGUGCCAGCAGCCGCGGUAAUACGUAGGGUGCGAGCGUUAAUCGGAAUUACUGGGCGUAAAGGGUGCGCAGGCGGUUGAGUAAGACAGAUGUGAAAUCCCCGAGCUUAACUCGGGAAUGGCAUAUGUGACUGCUCGACUAGAGUGUGUCAGAGGGAGGUGGAAUUCCACGUGUAGCAGUGAAAUGCGUAGAUAUGUGGAAGAACACCGAUGGCGAAGGCAGCCUCCUGGGACAUAACUGACGCUCAGGCACGAAAGCGUGGGGAGCAAACAGGAUUAGAUACCCUGGUAGUCCACGCCCUAAACGAUGUUAACUAGUUGUUGGGAUGUAACAAUCUCAGUAACGCAGCCAACGCGAGAAGUUAACCGCCUGGGAAGUACGGUCGCAAGACUAAAACUCAAAGGAAUUGACGGGGACCCGCACAAGCGGUGGAUGAUGUGGAUUAAUUCGAUGCAACGCGAAAAACCUUACCUACCCUUGACAUGUCAGGAAGCUCUUGUAAUGAGAGCGUGCCCGCAAGGGAGCC